rnacentral:rRNA from 1 species
UACGUAGGGUGCAAGCGUUGUCCGGAAUUAUUGGGCGUAAAGAGCGCGUAGGCGGUCCGAUAAGUCGGCUGUGAAAGUCCAGGGCUCAACCCUGGAAUGCCGGUGGAAACUGUCGGGCUAGAGUCCGGAAGAGGCGAGUGGAAUUCCUGGUGUAGCGGUGAAAUGCGCAGAUAUCAGGAGGAACACCUAUUGCGAAGGCAGCUCGCUGGGACGUAACUGACGCUGAGACGCGAAAGCGUGGGGAGCAAACAGG